AGGUCAGUUUGGUUCUGUCCCAUGCUAUACUUUGCCUGACAAACCUCGUUUGUCUUGUUUUGUCCACCAUAUUUGAUACAUUGUGCGCUGUGAGCCAGGAAAAAUCUGUUGUCAAUUGCACCGAGAAAGUCCUCAUUCAAAAACCACAACCUUUUAUCAUGCUAUUCUGCUUUACCAGCAUCAUCAACACCAUUGUUGUCAUGACGACAUUGUAUUGGAAGCCAACUGGUGUGGAAUUCUGUGGGUUUAAAGAAGCUUUAAAACGAUUAAUAAGGAAAGGAUCUUUUUGGUCGUUUAAUAUUACAUAUAUUUUUGUCGUUUUAGAAUACAUCUUAAUUGCAUUUAAAAACUUGGAAAUCGCAAAUAGGGUAUUAACUAUAACAUUGGUUGUAUAUUUUGGAUGUAAGUUAAUCGUUGCGUACUUUUUGAAUUAUGUACUUCCUGUAAAGUUUCCAUCGGUGAACGAACGAAGCUUCGCAAGACUGUAUAUUUGGUUGGCUUACUGGAUAAUACUUGUGCUAUUUUUCCUGGCAACUACGUCUGCUGCUUUGGCAAUUACCCUGGAUGUUGCCGAGAAAUUAUCUCCUCUUGGCAAAGUGCAAAUAGGAUCUCAUAACUUUGCAACCGUUUCCCGUCUUGUUCUUUUGGGAAUAAAAGCAACGUUCGAAGGACGAUUGUUUAUAUUUUACUGGAACAAAAUUUUUCAUGGAGACAAAGACUUGUUCUCCACGUUUAUUGUUUUAAAAUCUAUUCAAGAACAACCGACGCCAAGUAUAUAAGAAUAAACAAUGAAUAGAAAGUUGAUAUAUACAGCUCCUGCUGCCCAAUCUCAACUAUAUUCAAGGAAAGACGGGCAAAAGACUUUUUCGAUUUCAC